rnacentral:rRNA from 1 species
CGGAGGAAGUUGAGGACGACGUCAAGUCAUCAUGGCCCUUACGUGUAGGGCUACACACGUGCUACAAUGGGGAGUACAGAUAGACGCUAAAGCGCGAGCUGGUGCUAAUCUCAUAAAACUCUUCGUAGUCCGGAUUGGAGUCUGCAACUCGACUCCAUGAAGUCGGAAUCGCUAGUAAUCGUAAAUCAGGAUGUUACGGUGAAUACGUUCCCGGGCCUUGUACACACCGCCCGUCACACCAUGGGAGUGGGUUGCAAAAGAAGUGGCUAGUCUAACCUCGGAGGACGGUCACCACUUUGUGAUUCAUGACUGGGGUGAAGUCGUAAGCAGGUAACCU